AAUACAAGACCAUAUACCUAUACACACUAAUCCGCCGCUGAGACCCAUCAGCGAAGAAGAUCCCUGCCAUCGCCGCUCUUUCUUCUUCACCUCACAAUAACCAACCGAAACUCAGGAAAACAACUGCAUUAAUAUCACCUCCCAAACAUUUAAACUAACCACCAUAAGCACUGUACGAAACCUUUGACCAAACACCUUCACCACCAUUAAACCAAAAGCUAAUCUAGAUGUAAGGUGUCGUUUGUUUUGAUUUGAACAAAAAAUAAUUGAGUCAGCAAGAAUUUGAAGUACCCCUCUAAGCUUUGUUCUCAAAAUAGAGUCAAAUGGAGUAUAUGUUUGAUUUGAAGGACUCAUAGUGUCCUUGAGUCAGCAAGAAUUUUGAAGUACCCCAUGUUUUACUUGAAAGACUCACGGUGUCCAACUUCUCCAUUCGAGGUUUGUUGAGUUCUGGCAAGUUUCGGAUUCUAGCUUCUGUUCGAGGUCCCGAUGCGGUUCCUAUUUGCCGAUUUCAUCUCCCGAUCGAGGUCAACUUUUUUUCAAUCAAAGUUUUGAGACAAUUAAGGUCUACUUCUACCUUUCUGCUACUAUUUUUGCUUCAUAAAAUUGUUGGAAUGAAUCCAAAUAAAACACUUUAGCCUUCAUAUCGAAUUACUUGGAACAACANNN
rnacentral:lncRNA from 1 species